rnacentral:lncRNA from 1 species
GCUCAUUUUGCUAUAAUUUUAUUUCUCUGGAAACUCCUUUAGACCUCUGAGAUACAUUUACCAGUUCUCUUUCUCCCUUUUGUUAAAGACUUUCCAUCCUGGAAAAAUAAGAGAAUGAUGAAAUCAUCAAGACCGGGGUUCAGAAGGAUCCCUCAGAAAGAUCCUGGGAUGGAUGUGAAUGUCAGAGAAUGGCAGGACAAGCCAUAAAAAUCACAGAGACCAAAUGUGUAACCUCUGUGAUGCAAAUUAUAUUUAACCAGCUCUGGGGACUGAAUAUGGAUUGCUGCUUUGGUGAGUCUGGGUCUCUCUAUUUGGUCACAGAAUAGUAUGUCUCUAUGAUAUAAGGCCAACUGUGAUACACAUUUAUAUAUAUAAAUAAAGCAUUGAGUUUAUUUUAUUUUAAAAUUAUU